ensembl:misc_RNA
GGGUGACUGAUCGUACCCGCCAGCUGGCUAAUGUCAUAAUUAACAAAGUUGCUACUACAUCUGCAAAGUUUAAUCGAAAAAUUUGCCAGUGAUAUGAUGGCAUUGUCUCAGAGAUCACAAGGGACAUGGAGUCGACUUUUGCUCAAGGUGGAACGACAGAGCUGUGCAGGCAAGAUGAGAAAUUGCGAACUUGUUCGACCAAA